AUGUUUGCCUCUCUCACCAUAAUACUGAUGAUGGCUACCUCCGUCGCCCUUGUCUCGGCCGCCUCGCUUGGAAAACAAGCAGGAGCACUCCUUGCUUGGAAAGCCACCCUCAGCAACCAUAGCCAAGUCUCCCUGCAAUCAUGGGGAAACAUGUCGUCAGCGCCUUGUAGUUGGCGUGGAAUCCGAUGCGCUGCACCGUACAACGCGACGACACCGGCAUCGGCGCCGGCCGGUUAUCACCGGUGUCUCUCUACGGGGUUGAAGCUAAGAGGGUCGCUGGAGUCCAUGGACUUCUCGUCCUUGAGUACCUUGGCGACCCUCGACCUCUCGCACAACGAGCUCGCUGGGAGCAUUCCUUCAAGUAUAGAGCAUCUUAGAGAGCUCCAUGCUCUACUUCUGCACGGCAAUCAGAUAAGAGGCUCAAUUCCACCUGCUUUAGCAAACCUCACAAAACUCACAACCCUGCGUCUUUCCGAUAAUAAGCUUGUAGGAUCAGUUCCUCUAGAAAUUGGGAGUUUAGGGAUGCUGAAAGAGCUCAGUAUUAGUGUAAACCAACUAGAAAAUUAUAUUCCAACUAGUAUAGGAAACUUGACACAGUUGACAACUCUUCAUCUUAAUACUAACAAGUUCAUCGGACCCAUCCCUCGGGUAAUAAGGAAUUUGGUAAACCUGGAGGAUUUGCAACUCGGAUUGAACAAACUUACAGGAUCCAUACCAGCAUACUUGGGAAAUUUGACUAAGCUCACGGCCUUGUAUCUCUGGGAUAACAACUUGUCUGGCCACAUCCCUGAAGAACUAGGUCGUUUGAUCAACUUGGAGGAAUUGGGGCUUUCUCACAACACACUAACAGGCCACAUCCCUCCAGAACUAGGUCGUUUGAUCAGCUUAGAGAAAUUGGGGCUUUCUGAAAACACACUAACAGGAUCCAUACCAGCAUACUUAGGAAAUUUGACUAAACUCACGGCCUUGUAUCUCUGGGAUAACAACUUGUCUGGCCACAUCCCCGAAGAACUAGGUCGUUUGAUCAACUUGGAGGAAUUGGGGCUUUCUACCAACACACUAACAGGCCACAUCCCUCCAGAACUAGGUCGUUUGAUCAACUUAGAGAAAUUGGGGCUUUAUGAAAACACACUAACAGGCCACAUCCCUCCAGAACUAGGUCGUUCGAUCAACUUGGAGAUAUUGUGGCUUGAUGACAACACAUUAAUAGGUCCCAUCCCAAAUAGCAUAGGGAAUUUGACUAAGGUCACUUCCAUAGAUUUAUUUUUGAACCAACUUUCUGGACACAUUCCUCCAGAAAUUGGCAGGUUAACGAGAUUGGCUUGGUUCCAAGCUUCUCAUAACAACCUCUCUGGUGACUUGCCAUCGGGUAUUUGUGGGAGAGGCCAGCUGAAGUAUUUCACCGUCGAUGGCAACAACUUGGUUGGUCCCUUGCCUACAAGCUUGCUAAGCUGUAGAAGCCUAAUAAGAGUUCGCCUUGAGGGAAAUCAGCUCGAAGGAGAUAUCUCCAAGAUGGGAGUUCAUCCGAAUCUUGUCUAUAUUGAUAUCAGUGCAAAUAGACUAUUUGGUCAACUUUCUGAAAGUUGGGGUGAGUGCCGCAACCUUACCAUGUUGCGUGCCUCAAACAACAAGAUCACUGGAUUCAUACCACGAAGCAUAGGGCAAUUAUCAUUGUUGCGGAUACUUGAUGUUUCCUCAAAUAAACUUGAAGGACAAAUUCCACCAGAAAUUGGUGGUCUAUCGGGAUUGUUCAAUCUGAGCCUUGGUAAUAACUUGCUUCAGGGAAGUUUUCCACAAGUAAUUGGAACAUUAAAAGAAUUGGAAUGGGUAAUGAUCCGUUCUGGAACAAGAAACCACAAGAAAAACCGGACGACGCUGAAGUUGAGCCAUAAUCACCUCAAUGGUAACAUUUCUAUCGAACUAGGGAUGUUGGUAAACCUACAAGAUUUGUAUCUAAGUGACAAUUCAUUCGAAGGCAAGAUACCGAGUCAGCUAGGUAAUCUGAACAUGCUUGAGAACUUGAAUCUUUCACACAAUGCAUUGAACGGCAGCAUUCCCUCAUCAUUUCAGAGCCUGUCAGCCUCUUAUCCAUGGAUGUGUCAUACAACAAACUGGAAGGGCCGGUUCCACGAAGUGUGUUCUUUGAAGAUGCUCAAACUGAAUGGUUCUUGCACAAUAAUCAACUCUGUGGUGUAG
rnacentral:rRNA from 1 species